rnacentral:rRNA from 1 species
UACAGAGGUCCCGAGCGUUGUUCGGAUUCAUUGGGCGUAAAGGGUGCGUAGGCGGCGGGGCAAGUCUGCUGUGAAAUCCCGGGGCUCAACCCCGGAACUGCAUUGGAUACUGCCUUGCUCGAGUACUGGAGAGGGAACUGGAAUUUACGGUGUAGCAGUGAAAUGCGUAGAGAUCGUAAGGAAGGCCGGUGGCGAAGGCGAGUUCCUGGACAGUUACUGACGCUGAGGCACGAAGGCCAGGGGAGCAAACGGG